rnacentral:rRNA from 1 species
UCAACUUGAGAGUUUGAUCCUGGCUCAGAACGAACGCUGGCGGCAGGCUUAACACAUGCAAGUCGAGCGCACUCUUCGGAGUGAGCGGCAGACGGGUGAGUAACGCGUGGGAAUCUACCCAUCUCUACGGAAUAACUCAGGGAAACUUGUGCUAAUACCGUAUACGCCCUUCGGGGGAAAGAUUUAUCGGAGAUGGAUGAGCCCGCGUUUGAUUAGCUAGUUGGUGGGGUAAAGGCCUACCAAGGCGACGAUCAAUAGCUGGUCUGAGAGGAUGAUCAGCCACACUGGGACUGAGACACGGCCCAGACUCCUACGGGAGGCAGCAGUGGGGAAUAUU